rnacentral:rRNA from 1 species
UACGAAGGGGGCUAGCGUUGCUCGGAAUCACUGGGCGUAAAGCGCACGUAGGCGGACUCUUAAGUCGGUGGUGAAAUCCUGGAGCUCAACUCCAGAACUGCCUUCGAUACUGAGAGUCUCGAGUCCGAGAGAGGUGAGUGGAACUGCGAGUGUAGAGGUGAAAUUCGUAGAUAUUCGCAAGAACACCAGUGGCGAAGGCGGCUCACUGGCUCGGUACUGACGCUGAGGUGCGAAAGCAUGGGGAGCAAACAGG